GACUGCAGGUGAUUGGGGGCUACCCGCUGAGUUUAAUCAUAUCGUUCAGCUGAGGAAG
rnacentral:rRNA from 1 species